GUACCUGAAGCACAAUGGAUAGUGUGUUGGACUUCUAAUCGAAAUGUCGUGGGUAUGAAUCCCACCUGGGAUG